GGAGCUUAAUGGGCCAGAAGGGAAAUACGCAUUGACUUGUUAAUUAGAGAAGACACUUCCUUCAGCAUCCAGACCAAUCAAGGCCCGGGAGCUGGUUCUCAGGAUGGUGUUAUCCCUGGAAUUGCCACCAGAGGGGAGGCGUCUAUCAAUUUCAUAGCUUGCUACAGCGACAGCAGAGGGGCCCGCUCCAGGAGGCAGGCUUGGGCUGCCAAAGUCUGUAAAUAUCAACAGCCAGAUGGCAUCCCCUGGCAGGCUCAAAGGAUCUGAUCCUUGCCCCGAGGGAGCACAUGGUCCAGUACUGGAAGCAGACUGCCUGACAGCUAAAAAGCCAUUCCUGUGCUAUUAUGUCUUCUUCCUCUGACUGUGAAGUUCUGACAGAAAUGUGCCAUUGGCGUCAUCUUUAAGUAGUAACAUCCCUUUCUGUCUACCCCUCCUUCCUCCAAGCUUCUGUUUUCCAGGGGGCUAGCCCUGACCUCUCAGGUCUGACAUUUUAGAACCCUAAAAUAUCAAUAAUUCCAAAAAGCUGAAUGCCUUUCAUUUCUUACUUUAUUUUUAUAUUUUUGACAAAGACUAUCCCACCACAUCUCAUGACCCUCUCUGUACCUUCUUUCCACCAAAAAUACGGGGAGCACUAUUUCUCUCUGUGGCCACAGAAUCUCCUCUGUAAAAGGGGGUGAAUGACUCUUGCCUUAUACUGCCUUUCUCAACACAUUCUAUCACCAUCAUCACCCUGGGGUGGAGACCUUGGGCUUCUCUGAAUUUCCUCUUUUGUGGCCUCUUGUCUAGCCCAGCACUGUUGGCAGCAGAACAGAAAGAUGGAAGGAAUCUGGUCCUUUAGCCUCUGGACCAACCUUGACGCUGCCUAACUCUGUGCUCCAUGUUCCAUGGGCUAAUCAAAGUCGUCAUUAUUUGAGUUUGAGAUGGGCUUUCUGUUGUAUGCAGUUCAAAGUAGCUGGCUGAUAGUCACCAAGCCUUUGUGAGAAGGGUGGUAUACUGAAGAGGUAUGAAGGCAGCAGGAAUUUACAGGACGUGGAGAUGGCAGAACAUGAGGGGUGAGAGCAAAGGAACUGGCCUGGUCUCUCAGGUUAUCAGUGUAGUACGGCACUGUGACCAGCUCAGCUGGGGCUCAGACAUGCUCAGACACCUUCUCUGUUUCCCCUCUUCCCGUCUCCUGAGCUUUCACAUCUGUGGACGUACUUGCAGGUUUGUGCUGUGUCAAAACACCCCAACCAGUUAAAGGUAUCAUGGGAGGGCAGAGCAAGAAGGCGGCCAUCUAUAACCCAGACCCUUAAUGACUGAGCCCGGUCAGGGGGAAGAGGCAGGGAGAGAAAGGAUGAUGACCACAGGGGUGUGGUGUGCUAGCGCCGCCCCGUGGAUUGGCUUGGACAGCUGCUGGUAGAGGGGUGAAGGUCAGCAGCAAACAGGACCAGAGCUGCGGCCAUAAGCAGAGCCACCUCCGGGUUCACAGACAGUGUAGUAUG